rnacentral:rRNA from 1 species
UACAGAGGUCUCAAGCGUUGUUCGGAUUCAUUGGGCGUAAAGGGUGUGUAGGUGGCGCGCUAAGUCGGGUGUGAAAUUUCGGAGCUUAACUCCGAAACUGCAUUCGAUACUGGCGUGCUUGAGGACUGGAGAGGAGACUGGAAUUCAUGGUGUAGCAGUGAAAUGCGUAGAGAUCCCCAAGAACACCAGUUGCGAAGGCGGCCGACUGGACACAUAUUGACGCUGAGGCUCGAAAGCAUGGGGAGCAAACAGG